ACAUGCAAGUCGAACGAGACUUCGGGUCUAGUGGCGCACGGGUGCGUAACGCGUGGGAACUCUGCCCUUGGGUUCGGAANAACUUCGGGAAACUGAAGCUAAUACCGGAUGAUGACGUAAGUCCAAAGAUUUAUCGCCCAAGGAUGAGCCCGCGUAGGAUUAGCUAGUUGGUGGGGUAAAGGCUCACCAAGGCGACGAUCCUUAGCUGGUCUGAGAGGAUGAUCAGCCACACUGGGACUGAGACACGGCCCAGACUCCUACGGGAGGCAGCAGUGGGGAAUAUUGGACAAUGGGGCGAAAGCCUGAUCCAGCAAUGCCGCGUGAGUGAUGAAGGCCUUAGGGUUGUAAAGCUCUUUUACCCGAGAUGAUAAUGACAGUAUCGGGAGAAUAAGCUCCGGCUAACUCCGUG
rnacentral:rRNA from 1 species